rnacentral:rRNA from 1 species
UCGUGAGAUGUUGGGUUAAGUCCNGCAACGAGCGCAACCCCUAUCUUUAGUUGCCAUCAGGUUGGGCUGGGCACUCUAGAGAGACUGCCGGUGACAAGCCGGAGGAAGGUGGGGAUGACGUCAAGUCCUCAUGGCCCUUAUGUCCUGGGCUACACACGUGCUACAAUGGCGGUGACAGUGGGAAGCUAGGUGGUGACACCAUGCUGAUCUCUAAAAGCCGUCUCAGUUCGGAUUGCACUCUGCAACUCGAGUGCAUGAAGGUGGAAUCGCUAGUAAUCGCGGAUCAGCAUGCCGCGGUGAAUACGUUCCCGGGUCUUGUACACAC